AGUUUCGUCCUCGGGAGGCAGAGACCGACUUGUCGCGGGCGCCGAAUCAGGAUGUUGGCUCUCAUCUGGGCGUCUCUGUUCUUAUCUGUGAGAGGCAACAAUACAGUCAACGACACAGUUUUUCUACGCAUCUUAAAUAGCUCUGCGUGUGAGGUUCAGAUGAAGGUCGUGACCUGUGUGUGCCUCACUGAGGGGUUCCCCUUGCCCACCGUCACGUGGAAGCUGUUGAAAAACGUUGUUGUGCACUCUGUCGUCGCCGCCCCCGCCGCGGUGUCAUCGAACUACGCGGUCAACAGCACCAUCGUCCUCACUGUGAGCGACCACAGGGACGCCGCUCUGUGUGUCAGCCACAACGCCGACGGGGUAGUAGAACUAAAGCUCACAAUCCCAGCGAAUGAGUCCAAACACGAGGAUCUACUCAAAGAACUGUUGAUGACCCUUCAACAGCCGCAAGUCAUCAUUGCGUUUGUGAAUGGGAUUUUUCUUUCAGCAACCAUCUGCUGUUUGACCAGAGCAUGCCACAGAAAAAAAAAGAGAAGAUCCGUCAAUUUGGCUGAGGACAUGGAGAUGGUGACGGUUCCAGCGAUCGAUAAUGGUGAAGCAGUGGGAUAUGAUGACAGGACCCGUUACCAAGAUGCAGCUGAAGGAGGAGCUGAGGCUGCUGGGAUGUCAGCCCCCGAUGGGUACCAGGCACCAAAAGAGGUGGAGUACUCCAACAUCGUCUUCUCUGCACUGGGAAGGAGUGUCGCCGAGUCCAAUGAUGCUCAAGAAGCCACAGAGACCGAGUACGCUGAAAUCAAGAACGAAGCAGCACAGGAGAGACCGGACGACGGUGGAGCUUUGGAGGAAGGCGAGGAGGAGGAGGCGAUGGAGGAGGGGGAUGAGAGGGAGACGGGAUAGAGUGUGUUGGCAGAGGAAGGAGGUUAGGAUGUGGUGCUGUAUUCUCAUGUGUCUAGGUAAAUAAUGAGCCGGCUGGACCUCAGGGUACAUUUCUCUAUAUACAUACAUGUAUUGUAUUGAUACAUGGAAACGUAAUGAAUUCAAUGAAACAGACGCAUGUUAGGCAGAGGUCAAUUUAAUGGUCUUUGUCUGAAGUUACUCUUGUAAUAUGUUGUUGCUCUGAUGGCUUUUCUCACUUUUACGUGUAAACGACAAUCCUCAUCUUUGCCUGAAGUAAUUGAGACUGUGCAACUCCAUUCACUUAAAAUACCAUUUAAUUAUUCAUUUAUAUAUACGAUCGCAGCUUCCCAAGACCGGUUCCCCCAUCAGACAUCAGGCAUGAGCCUGGUGAGAACAAGUAAACUUUUUGCCCUAAUAAUCUCUAAUGUCUCUCACAGGCUUCACAGAUGCUCUGUCAGGGGGAAUCGACAGCUUUUUGUAGCAUUUCAGCUUUUUGUGACUUCUUCUUCUCAUAUUAUUAUUAAUUUUAUUACAAGAAAUACAUUUAUGUGAAAUAUAAAAUAAAAUCAAUUACCAUAAAGACUUCCAAGGAGCUUAUUGUACAGAAUUUCCCUGUUGAAACUUUGUCGUGUCCCUUUUUGUACAUCAAUUGAUUGAACAGUUUGAAAAUAAAAAUACUGCUGUGUUCAUGGGAAAGUUGACAUGUUUUGAGCCAGACUCUGAAAACCUAACCAAUUCCUGUGGUCAGCCUAGUGCAUUGUGUCCAGUGGUUUCAUCACCAGUUUUGACCUCUUCCGACUGUUGAACUUCUCUUUCUCCUUGUUGGAGGAUUUCUUCAUGAAUGUCCUGUGUAGUACUGUGGCAGGUCAUAAGAGUUACCACAUACACUAAAAAUGAAAUGAAUCCAUAUGAGGAAUGACCUCAAUGAAUACCCAUUGUAUUAUGAAUAUCCACCAUAUUGACUUUGCUGAGAAUGGCAAAAUCGGCAAAUGUGGUUCGUUCUAAGUGCUAAAAGGGAGAAACAUGACGACAAGCAGACACUUUGCAUUUGAAUCUUCAUGUAUUCAGUGCCUUUACAUUUUUUCCCCCCAACACUUGAAUAGCCUUAUAUUCUUUCAUCAUCAUCAGUUAGUUGAUGACCUGCAGAUGCUGGAUUAGUCCGCACUACACAUCGCACAUUGCAGAGUAUCUAUUGUACAAGGGGAAUGCAAAAAAAGACCAACAAAAGUUCCCGAUUCAUCACUCAUUGAGAAAGCAACUGCAUACAGAAAAGGACACUUUGGUUAGAUAGUUUGUCACGAUGAGCAGAUUUUUUUUAAAACUUCCUUUAAACAUUCUAAAUGUUUUGUGACAUCACAGUUGUGAAAGCAGUACAUAAAACAUUCAAAGAGUACUGGGCCAAUAGACUAGAUAGACAACAGCCCAGGCCAUGACGGAGACCAGAGUGUGUAUUGUUUGGAGCUGAUGUUGAGAACAUGUGUGGGACCCAGAAACAGACACAUUCGGGCCUGUGGGGAAAGUGGGUAGUCAAAUCUAGGCACAGAUAUGAAAUGGGUGAACAUGCAACCAUCCCCAACAUCUCUGCAGCUGCUUCUGGUCCGGUGUGAUCAACCACACUUCCUGUGUGUCUUGCGUUUUAUUUUCUUUCUUGAAAGAAAGUUUGUCCUGUGGAGGGAGAGAAUAAGUGUCUCGCAUUGAUCCUAUCACAAUGUUUCUUUGCUGUGACAAGCAACGAUGCUAACACAGGUAGAGUAUACGGCCUUGUUGCAAUCUUGUUAUUAAUUCAACACUGAAGGCCUGUAUUCAUAAGCCAUUGAAAGCUUCUUCAAUAUUAAAUAAUAACAUUGCCCUGAUCAUUAAUGUCCUUAUAAAUAUGUUGCUUUCAUGUUCCGAAAACUGCAGGUGAUUGCAGCUAUUCAAUUUUUUGGUCUCAUUAAGCUUGUUAGAGUGCUCAUGGCUCACCACACUUUAAA
ensembl:lncRNA